rnacentral:rRNA from 1 species
CCUACGGGUGGCUGCAGUGGGGAAUAUUGGACAAUGGGGGGAACCCUGAUCCAGCAAUGCCGCGUGGAUGAAGAAGGUCUUCGGAUUGUAAAGUCCUUUCGGCGGGGACGAUGAUGACGGUACCCGCAGAAGAAGCCCCGGCUAACUUCGUGCCAGCAGCCGCGGUAAUACGAAGGGGGCUAGCGUUGCUCGGAAUUACUGGGCGUAAAGGGCGCGUAGGCGGACCUGUCAGUCAGGCGUGAAAGCCCCGGGCUCAACCUGGGAAUUGCGCUUGA